AUUGAACGCUGGCGGCAUGCCUUACACAUGCAAGUCGAACGGCAGCACGGGUGCUUGCACCUGGUGGCGAGUGGCGAACGGGUGAGUAAUACAUCGGAACAUGUCCUGUAGUGGGGGAUAGCCCGGCGAAAGCCGGAUUAAUACCGCAUACGAUCUACGGAUGAAAGCGGGGGACCUUCGGGCCUCGCGCUAUAGGGUUGGCCGAUGGCUGAUUAGCUAGUUGGUGGGGUAAAGGCCUACCAAGGCGACGAUCAGUAGCUGGUCUGAGAGGACGACCAGCCACACUGGGACUGAGACACGGCCCAGACUCCUACGGGAGGCAGCAGUGGGGAAUUUUGGACAAUGGGCGAAAGCCUGAUCCAGCAAUGCCGCGUGUGCGAAGAAGGCCUUCGGGUUGUAAAGCACUUUUGUCCGGAAAGAAAUCCUUGGCCCUAAUACGGUCGGGGGAUGACGGUACCGGAAGAAUAAGCACCGGCUAACUACGUG
rnacentral:rRNA from 1 species